rnacentral:rRNA from 1 species
GACGAACGCUGGCGGCGUGCUUAACACAUGCAAGUCGAACGAAGUGGCGAACGGGUGAGUAAUACGUAGGUAACCUGCCCUCCUUUUUGGGAUAAGCCUUGGAAACGGGGUCUAAUACCGAAUAAAGGGGGAUGGGCUCGCGGCCUCUCAGCUUGUUGGUGGGGUGAUGGCCUACCCAGGCGGUGACGGGUAGCCGGCCUGAGAGGGUGGCCAGCCACAUUGGGACUGAGAUACGGCCCAGACUCCGACGGGAGGCAGCAGGGGUGGAUAUUGCACAGUGGGCGAAAGACUGAUGCAGGGACGCCGCGUGAGGGAUGAAGGCUUGGGCGUUGUAAACCUCUUUAGCUAUCGAACGGGUAGGUUGAGAAGAAGCGCCGGCUAACUACGUGCCAGCAGCCGCGGUAAUAC